AUGUCGUCCUCCAACGACGCCCCCGUCAGCCCUCGCUCCCAGCUCGUGCUGAGCUGCUUCGAGGAGCUCCUCGACUUCGCGGUGGCGGACGUGGCGUCGGAGUGCCACCGCAUCGCGCGCCUAGGCCUCGACCGCAGCGUCGACGCCGAGGAGGAGGAGCUCCGCCUCUGGGCCGCGCGCGUCGCCGGCGACCACCCCGGCGCCGAGGACGGGGCCACCCGCGGGGCCGGGGGAGGAGGGGGGAACAAGGGCGCGCCCGACGUCUUCGGCCAGACGCACCCCGCCAUCGCCGCCGACGUCGUCGACUGCAUGAACUGCGGUCGCCCCGUCGUCGCCGGCCGCUUCGCCCCGCACCUCGAGAAGUGCAUGGGCAAGGGUCGCAAAGCUCGCGCAAAGACCACAAGGAGCAGCACAGCUGGACGGAACAGAAACAGCAAUGGGGAGGAGCAUAGCAACCAUACAUUCCAGGAGUCCUGA
rnacentral:rRNA from 1 species